AUUUUCGGACGAACGCUGGCGGCAGGCCUAACACAUGCAAGUCGAGCGCGCCCUUCGGGGUGAGCGGCGGACGGGUGAGUAACGCGUGGGAACGUGCCCUCUUCUGCGGAAUAGCCACUGGAAACGGUGAGUAAUACCGCAUACGCCCUUUUGGGGAAAGAUUUAUCGGAGGAGGAUCGGCCCGCGUUGGAUUAGGUAGUUGGUGGGGUAAUGGCCUACCAAGCCGACGAUCCAUAGCUGGUUUUAGAGGAUGAUCAGCCACACUGGGACUGAGACACGGCCCAGACUCCUACGGGAGGCAGCAGUGGGGAAUCUUAGACAAUGGGCGCAAGCCUGAUCUAGCCAUGCCGCGUGAGUGACGAAGGCCCUAGGGUCGUAAAGCUCUUUCGCCUGUGAUGAUAAUGACAGUAGCAGGUAAAGAAACCCCGGCUAACUCCGUGCCAGCAGCCGCGGUAAUACGGAGGGGGUUAGCGUUGUUCGGAAUUACUGGGCGUAAAGCGCGCGUAGGCGGAUUGGAAAGUUGGGGGUGAAAUCCCGGGGCUCAACCCCGGAACUGCCUCAAAAACUUCCAGUCUGGAGUUCGAGAAAGGUGAGUGGAAAUCCGAGUGUAAGGUGAAAUUCUUAAUAUUCCGAAGGAA
rnacentral:rRNA from 1 species